UGGCUCAGGACGAACGCUGGCGGCGUGCUUAACACAUGCAAGUCGAACGCUGAAGCACCAGCUUGCUGGUGUGGAUGAGUGGCGAACGGGUGAGUAAUACGUGAGUAACCUGCCCUUGACUCUGGGAUAAGCCCGGGAAACUGGGUCUAAUACUGGAUGCUACAUGUCACCGCAUGGUGGUGUGUGGAAAGGGUUUACUGGUCUUGGAUGGGCUCACGGCCUAUCAGCUUGUUGGUGAGGUAAUGGCUCACCAAGGCGACGACGGGUAGCCGGCCUGAGAGGGUGACCGGCCACACUGGGACUGAGACACGGCCCAGACUCCUACGGGAGGCAGCAGUGGGGAAUAUUGCACAAUGGGCGAAAGCCUGAUGCAGCGACGCCGCGUGAGGGAUGACGGCCUUCGGGUUGUAAACCUCUUUCAGCAGGGAAGAAGCCACAAGUGACGGUACCUGCAGAAGAAGCGCCGGCUAACUACGUGCCAGCAGCCGCGGUAAUACGUAGGGCGCAAGCGUUGUCCGGAAUUAUUGGGCGUAAAGAGCUCGUAGGCGGUUUGUCGCGUCUGCUGUGAAAGCCCUGGGCUUAACCCCGGGUGUGCAGUGGGUACGGGCAGAGUAGAGUGCAGUAGGGGAGACUGGAAUUCCUGGUGUAGCGGUGGAAUGCGCAGAUAUCAGGAGGAACACCGAUGGCGAAGGCAGGUCUCUGGGCUGUUACUGACGCUGAGGAGCGAAAGCAUGGGGAGCGAACAGGAUUAGAUACCCUGGUAGUCCAUGCCGUAAACGUUGGGCACUAGGUGUGGGGGACAUUCCACGUUUUCCGCGCCGUAGCUAACGCAUUAAGUGCCCCGCCUGGGGAGUACGGCCGCAAGGCUAAAACUCAAAGGAAUUGACGGGGGCCCGCACAAGCGGCGGAGCAUGCGGAUUAAUUCGAUGCAACGCGAAGAACCUUACCAAGGCUUGACAUAUACCGGAUCGUUCCAGAGAUGGUUCUUCCCCUUUGGGGUCGGUAUACAGGUGGUGCAUGGUUGUCGUCAGCUCGUGUCGUGAGAUGUUGGGUUAAGUCCCGCAACGAGCGCAACCCUCGUUCCAUGUUGCCAGCACGUGAUGGUGGGGACUCAUGGGAGACUGCCGGGGUCAACUCGGAGGAA
rnacentral:rRNA from 1 species